CUUUCUUCUGCUUUGCUCUACUUUUCUUCGUUGGAGCUCUGGUUUUUCUUGCCAUCAGGAGAGUUCAUCUUUAGUGUUUUGAAGGUUGACAAUGGAGCAGGGUUGGAGCUGGGAAUGCUUCUCAUUACACUGGAUGCCUAUACCCACGAAGCAUAAAGGGAAACAAAUCUUGAGCCAUAACGACUACACUACCGUAAAGGAGUUAGAAAAGGCAUGUAAAAAAAAGAAGCACCAAGUUCCUAUGUUGGUAUGACUAUGGGACAGUUUAAUCUUUAAGGCAAAUUUUUGCUCAGAAGAAGAAGAAGAAAGAAAGAGAGAGGAAUGACUAUUGAGCCUGCCUAAAAAAAGGACAAGAAAUCUAAGAAGGUAGUUGCCCCUACUCCUCUUGUAGCUGUGGUUAAUAAGCCAGUUAUUGCUGAGCCUGUGAUACUCCUUCCUCCUCCUACCUCUGACACUGCUAUGACUCCAAGUGGCAGUGGAAUUGAUAUUGUCCUGAGGAGACAGAACCAGGUGGUCGAGAAUCAUCUGUUGGUUGAGUUGCUCGGGUGAAAGCUAACCCUUCCUGGUGAGCAAACUCGAUUUGAUCCUAAAUGCACUUGUGAUGUAUUUAUCUGGUCGAUAAAUUUAAAUUUAAAGGCAGUGACAAUUACAAAUCUUACAUUAGAGCUUCUGCAAGGUCUUCAAGACAGCUAUGGUGAACUCUAGACUAGCUGCAGUGCCUUGGAGUUUAUGGUGGAGGAAAGAGAUGAUCAAAGUAAACAACUUUAGUCUGACCUUGGGGAGUCUAACAAAUGAUUUGCCGAACUUAACACUGAGUUUUCUGCUGCUAGGAGUCUCUAUCAGGUUGAUCUCAAGCUGGCGAAUACUAGAGUUCAAGAACUAAAGGCAAAGGUGAAAUCCUCGAAUGAGAAGCUAGUGGAAUUACACAUGGCCUUGCAAGUAACUAUUGUUUCCAAGUUGUCAAAGCAACAAUCGGGUGUGGACUUUGAAUGGAUAAAAGAGAUUGUCCUCGAUCAAACUAAUCUUAGAGAGGGAAAGGACGAGGGAAAUAAGGGUGGGAAGGAAAGGGGAUGAUGAUGCUCCUCCCUUAAAUGAGUG
rnacentral:misc_RNA from 1 species